CCUGGCUCAGGACGAACGCUGGCGGCGUGCUUAACACAUGCAAGUCGAACGGAAAGGCCUAGCUUGCUAGGUACUCGAGUGGCGAACGGGUGAGUAACACGUGGGUGAUCUGCCUCGUACUUCGGGAUAAGCCUGGGAAACUGGGUCUAAUACUGGAUAGGACCAUGCUUUAGUGUGUGUGGUGGAAAGUUUUUUCGGUACGAGAUGAGCCCGCGGCCUAUCAGCUUGUUGGUGGGGUAAUGGCCUACCAAGGCGUCGACGGGUAGCCGGCCUGAGAGGGUGGACGGCCACAUUGGGACUGAGAUACGGCCCAGACUCCUACGGGAGGCAGCAGUGGGGAAUAUUGCACAAUGGGCGCAAGCCUGAUGCAGCGACGCCGCGUGGGGGAUGACGGCCUUCGGGUUGUAAACCUCUUUCGCUAGGGACGAAGCUUUUGUGACGGUACCUAGAUAAGAAGCACCGGCUAACUACGUGCCAGCAGCCGCGGUAAUACGUAGGGUGCGAGCGUUGUCCGGAAUUACUGGGCGUAAAGAGCUCGUAGGUGGUUUGUCGCGUCGUCUGUGAAAUUCCGGGGCUUAACUUCGGGCGUGCAGGCGAUACGGGCAUAACUUGAGUGCUGUAGGGGAGACUGGAAUUCCUGGUGUAGCGGUGGAAUGCGCAGAUAUCAGGAGGAACACCGAUGGCGAAGGCAGGUCUCUGGGCAGUAACUGACGCUGAGGAGCGAAAGCAUGGGGAGCGAACAGGAUUAGAUACCCUGGUAGUCCAUGCCGUAAACGGUGGGCGCUAGGUGUGAGGGUCUUCCACGACUUUCGUGCCGUAGCUAACGCAUUAAGCGCCCCGCCUGGGGAGUACGGCCGCAAGGCUAAAACUCAAAGGAAUUGACGGGGGCCCGCACAAGCGGCGGAGCAUGUGGAUUAAUUCGAUGCAACGCGAAGAACCUUACCUGGGCUUGACAUAUGCAGGAUCGGCGUAGUGAUACGUUUUCCCUUGUGGUCUGUAUACAGGUGGUGCAUGGUUGUCGUCAGCUCGUGUCGUGAGAUGUUGGGUUAAGUCCCGCAACGAGCGCAACCCUUGUCUUAUGUUGCCAGCACGUGAUGGUGGGGACUCAUGAGAGACUGCCGGGGUUAACUCGGAGGAAGGUGGGGAUGACGUCAAAUCAUCAUGCCCCUUAUGUCCAGGGCUUCACACAUGCUACAAUGGUCGGUACAACGCGCUGCGAGCCUGUGAGGGUGAGCGAAUCGCUGAAAGCCGGCCUCAGUUCGGAUUGGGGUCUGCAACUCGACCCCAUGAAGUCGGAGUCGCUAGUAAUCGCAGAUCAGCAACGCUGCGGUGAAUACGUUCCCGGGCCUUGUACACACCGCCCGUCACGUCAUGAAAGUUGGUAACACCCGAAGCCAGUGGCCUAACCCUUUGUGGGGGGAGCUGUCGAAGGUGGGAUCGGCGAUUGGGACGAAGUCGUAACAAGGUAGCCGUACCGGAAGGUGCGGCUGG
rnacentral:rRNA from 1 species